GAUGAAGAACGUAGCGAAAUGCGAUAAGUAAUGUGAAUUGCAGAAUACAGUGAAUCAUCGAAUCUUUGAACGCACAUUGCGCCCGCCAGUAUUCUGGCGGGCAUGCCUGUUCGAGCGUCAUUUCAACCAUCAAGCCCCCGGCUUGUGUUGGGGACCUGCGGCUGCCGCAGGCCCUGAAAACCAGUGGCGGGCUCGCUGUCACACCGAGCGUAGUAGAUUUUCAUCUCGCUCAGGGCGUGCUGCGGGUUCCGGCCGUAAAAAGCCUUAUUUACCCAAGGUUGACCUCGGAUCAGGUAGGAAGACCCGCUGAACUUAAGCAUAUCAAUAAGCGGAGGA
rnacentral:misc_RNA from 1 species